rnacentral:misc_RNA from 1 species
GUACACCUUGAGACAGGUCUAACGUGCAGUGCUGGAGUUGCACCAAACCGCUUACUUGCUAAGGUUUGUUCAGAUAUCAACAAACCAAACGGCCAGUUUGUUUUGCCAAAUGAUCGAAGUGCUGUUGUGACAUUUAUUUCUUCACUUCCAAUAAGGAAGAUUGGGGGCAUUGGUAAGGUCACUGAACGUAUCUUAAAGGAUGUCUUUGGAAUAGCAACCUGUGAGGAGAUGCUGCAAAAGAGUAGUUCCCUUUGUGGCCUGUUUUCUCGUUCUUCAGCAGACUUUUUCCUUUCCGUAGGUCUAGGGCUUGGUGGAACCGAUACUCCUCAAUAUAGGAUGAGAAAGAGUAUAAGUAACGAAAGAACAUUUUCAGCCACUAGCGACGAAGCUUUGCUUUUUCAAAAAUUAGUUGAUCUAUCAGAAAUGCUUUCUGCUGAUAUGAUAAAGGAAGGUCUUUUUGGGCGAACAUUGACACUAAAACUGAAGACCGCAUCCUUUGAGAUUCGAUCUCGAGCGGUGACUUUGCCAAGUUACAUAAGUUCCAGUGAGGAAAUCUUGAAACAUGCUUCAAAGCUGCUUAAGGCCGAAUUUCCUGUUUCUUUGAGGCUCAUGGGUCUUCGAAUGUCUCAUUUCAGUGAAGACAAGAACGGGAUUCCACCUGAUCCUACACAAAAAACUCUUUCUAGUUUCAUUUUUUCUGGAGAUGCU